rnacentral:lncRNA from 1 species
ACAUGCUCAAGUGCCGGUGUAUCUGUACAACCAGGAUUGGUAUAUGCAUGCUCUUGUAUUAUACCUUUUUGUAAUUCAGGUUUAUUUCUUAUUUUGAUUUGUCUUGCAUUUUUUAGCUUUGCAUAUUUGUUAACCUGAUGUGUAUUUGAAAAAUUUUCAUUUUUGAUUCUUUAAUCAUGUAUAUAUGGCCCCAUUCUCAGAGCGA